GGGAGAGAGACAGAUGUCGUCCUCUUCCCUCGAGAACUGUUUAAGAGAGAGACAGAGUGAGUGAGAGAGAGAGGGCUUUAGACAGAGAACGGAGAGAGAAAGCUUUGAGGGGGGAGAGAAACAGAAAGCUUUGAAGGGGAGAGAGAGAGAGAGAGAGAGAGAGCUUUGAAGGGGUAGGGAGAGAGAAGGAACGUAUAAUGGGAAACCAAAAGCAAAAAUGGACGGCGGAGGAGGAAGAAGGCCUACUGGCCGGAGUUGCAAAGCACGGCCCGGGCAAGUGGAAGAACAUUCUCAAAGAUCCCGAAUUUGCCUCUGUCCUAAUACACCGCUCCAAUAUCGACCUCAAGGAUAAGUGGAGGAACUUGAGUGUUAGUACUUCUGGACAUGGUUCUAAGGACAGACCAAGGGGUACUAAGGUAAAAAAUAGUGUGGCUGCCCAGCAUCUUGUUCGUAACUCUGCUCCUACUGCUUCGGUUCGUCCCAAUGCAUCUCCUGCUUCAGCCCCUCCCAAUUCAUCUCCUGCUUCAGUUCGUCCGAGUGCAUCUCCUGCUUCAGUUUGUCCCAAUGCAUCUCCUGAUGCCAUGAUGGACGAUGCGGUUAAUAGUGCACCAGAAUUGAAAAGUGCUUCACAGUACGAUCCAAUGAUUUUCCAGGCCCUUUCAACGAUGAAAGAUAUGAAUGGAUCUGAUUUAGGUGCCAUUCUUAACUUUAUUGAGCAAAGGCAUGAGGUACCCGUACCACCAAAUUUCAGAAGGUUAUUGGGUCCAAGGUUGAGAAGGCUUGUUUCACAAGGAAAACUGGAAAAGGUGCAAAAUCGCUACAAGUUAAAAAAAGAUGCAACAUUUGGAACAAAAACACCUACACUUACGCGAAAUCAAAGGGAUGUUAGGCCCCGGAAAUUGCAGAAUUCUGGGUCAAUGACAUUUACUGAAACAGUGCAGGAUGCAGCUGAAACUGCUGCCCAUAAACUUGCAGACGCUGAAGACAAAUCCUUUGUGGCUGCUGUUGCAAUGAAGGAAGCAGACAGGAUUUCAAAGAUGACAGAAGACAACGAGUCAAUUUUACAGCUAAUUGAAGAGAUUUAUGGACAAUGUUCACGUGGUGAAGUUGUCGCCUUGGCGUAGGUCAUCAACUUAUGCGGUUAUACCAGAAGUCAAUUCCAUUUGGAUGGUGUUUUGAGUGUUCCUGGAUUCAACCUACAGCUAUCUGCUUCUAACAGUCCAAGUUAUCAGCAAGCUUCCCGUCGAGGAGGUGGUGGGCAGCUCCAUGCAGCAACUGCUGCUGCUGCUCAAAAUGGGGAAGCUCUUUGGAGUUUCCCGUCAGGUGGUGGGUGGCUCCACGCAGCAACUGCUGCUGCUGCACAAAAUGGGGAAGCUCUUUGGAGUUUCCCAUCAAACAGGUGAUGGGCGGCUCCAAGGGGUUGCACAACAGCCCACCAUGCCUACCAGGGACCUUAUAAAUAGAUUCUCCCACACAACUCAAGUGUAAUGAAUCACAUUAGGAAUCAAUUUAGGUGAAAGACCUAUCACCAAGAACA